rnacentral:rRNA from 1 species
GAUGAACGCUGGCGGCGUGCCUAACACAUGCAAGUCGAACGGAAAGGCCCUGCUUUUGUGGGGUGCUCGAGUGGCGAAGGGGUGAGUAACACGUGUGUAACCUGCCCUUGACUUUGGGAUAACUUCAGGAAACUGGGGCUAAUAUCGGAUAGGAGAUCCUGCACCAUGGUGGGCGUUGGAAAGUUUCGGCGGUUGGGGAUGGACUCGCGGCUUAUCAGCUUGUUGGUGGGGUAGUGGCAUACGAAGGGUUUGACGGGUAGCCGGCCUGAGAGGGUGGCCGGCCACAAGGGGACUGAGGUACGGCCCAGACUCCUACGGGAGGCAGCGGUGGGGAAUAUUGCACAGUGGGCGGAAGCCUGAUGCAGCGACGCCGCGUGCGGGAUGACGGCCUUCGGGGUGUAAACCGCUUUCGCCUGUGACGAAGCGUUAGUGACGGUAACGGGUAAAGAAGCACCGGCUAACUACGUG